rnacentral:rRNA from 1 species
AGAGUUUGAUCCUGGCUCAGGACGAACGCUGGCGGCGUGCUUAACGCAUGCAAGUCGAGCGAUGAGAUCCCUUCGGGGAUGGAUUAGCGGCGAACGGGUGAGGAACACGUGAAGAAUCUGCCUUCAACUCUGGGAUAACACCGGGAAACCGGUGCUAAUACCGGAUAUGAGCCUCGAUCGCAUGAUCGGGGCUGGAAAGUUUUUCGGUUGAAGAUGACUUCGCGGCCUAUCAGCUUGUUGGUGAGGUAAUGGCUCACCAAGGCGACGACGGGUAGCCGGCCUGAGAGGGCGACCGGCCACACUGGGACUGAGACACGGCCCAGACUCCUACGGGAGGCAGCAGUGGGGAAUAUUGGGCAAUGGACGAAAGUCUGACCCAGCGACGCCGCGUGAGGGAUGAAGGCCUUCGGGUUGUAAACCUCUUUCAGCAGGGAAGAAGCGAAAGUGACGGUACCUGCAGAAGAGGCACCGGCUAACUAUGUGCCAGCAGCCGCGGUAAUACAUAGGGUGCAAGCGUUGUCCGGAAUUAUUGGGCGUAAAGAGCUCGUAGGUGGUUAGUUACGUCGGAUGUGAAAAUCUAGGGCUCAACCCUAGACCUGCAUCCGAUACGGGCUAGCUUGAGUUUGGUAGGGGAGACUGGAAUUCCUGGUGUAGCGGUGGAAUGCGCAGAUAUCAGGAGGAACACCAAUGGCGNNNNCAGGUCUCUGGGCCAAUACUGACACUGANNAGCGAAAGUGUGGGGAGCGAACAG